rnacentral:rRNA from 1 species
ACUGGAGUUUGAUCCUGGCUCAGAUUGAACGCUGGCGGCAGGCCUAACACAUGCAAGUCGAGCGGAUGAGAAGAGCUUGCUCUUCGAUUCAGCGGCGGACGGGUGAGUAAUGCCUAGGAAUCUGCCUGGUAGUGGGGGACAACGUUUCGAAAGGAACGCUAAUACCGCAUACGUCCUACGGGAGAAAGCAGGGGACCUUCGGGCCUUGCGCUAUCAGAUGAGCCUAGGUCGGAUUAGCUAGUUGGUGAGGUAAUGGCUCACCAAGGCUACGAUCCGUAACUGGUCUGAGAGGAUGAUCAGUCACACUGGAACUGAGACACGGGUCCAGACUCCGUACGGGAGGCAGCAGUGGGGGAAUAUUGGACAA